rnacentral:pre_miRNA from 1 species
GGGGGGAGUGCUGGAUCUUGGGCUGUGUCCCCCGCACCCUGUGCUCCCGGGCCUGCAGUGUUGGAUUCCCGCUCCCUGCCGCGCAGCCUCUU